rnacentral:rRNA from 1 species
AUUCGCCCUUCCCUAUGGGGUGCAGCAGGCGAGAAAACUUUGCAAUGUGCGAAAGCACGACAAGGUUAAUCCGAGUGGCUUCUGUUGAAGUAGCCUUUUGACAGUCCUAAAAACACUGUUGAAUAAGGGGUGGGCAAGUUCUGGUGUCAGCCGCCGCGGUAAAACCAGCACCUCAAGUGGUCAGGAGGAUUAUUGGGCCUAAAGCAUCCGUAGCCUGCUCUGUAAGUUUCCGGUUAAAUCCAUUAGCUCAACUAAUGGGCUGCCGGAAAAACUGCAAAGCUAGGAAGUGGGAGAGGUAGACGGUACUCGGUAGGAAGGGGUAAAAUCCUUUGAUCUAUUGAUGACCACCUGUGGCGAAGGCGGUCUACCAGAACACGUUCGACGGUGAGGGAUGAAAGCUGGGGGAGCAAACCGGAUUAGAUACCCGGGUAGUCCCAGCUGUAAACGAUGCAGACUCGGUGAUGCCCUGGCUUGUGGCCAGUGCAGUGCCGCAGGGAAGCCGUUAAGUUUGCCGCCUGGGAAGUACGUACGCAAGUAUGAAACUUAAAGGAAUUGGCGGGGGAGCACCACAAGGGGUGAAGCCUGCGGUUCAAUUGGAGUCAACGCCAGAAAUCUUACCCGGAGAGACAGCAGAAUGAAGGUCAAGCUGAAGACUUUACCAGACAAGCUGAGAGGUGGUGCAUGGCC